rnacentral:rRNA from 1 species
CAGUCGCCACGGUAAUACGUAGGGUGCAAGCGUUAAUCGGAAUUACUGGGCGUAAAGCGUGCGCAGGCGGUUUGUUAAGACAGAUGUGAAAUCCCCGGGCUCAACCUGGGAACUGCAUUUGUGACUGGCAAGCUAGAGUGUGGCGGAGGGGGGUGGAAUUCCGCGUGUAGCAGUGAAAUGCGUAGAUAUGCGGAGGAACACCGAUGGCGAAGGCAGCCUCCUGGGAUAACACUGACGCUCAUGCACGAAAGCGUGGGGAGCAAACAGGAUUAGAUACCCCCGUAGUCCCUGUCUCUUAUAC